rnacentral:lncRNA from 1 species
UCUAAAGAUCGAGAUGGUCAUUCAGUUCUAUCAAAUACCGAUCUGAAGAUCGAUGUUAUCUUUGAGUUCUAUAAAAUACUAAUCGGAGGAUCGAGGUUAUUUUUCAGUUCUAUAAAAUACUGACCUGAAGGUUGUGAUUAUCUUUCAAUUUUAUAAAAUAUCGAUCGAAAGAUUGAGGUUAUAUUUCAAUUAUAUAAAAUAUUAACUUGAAGGUCGAGGUUAUCUUUUAGUUCUAUCAAAUACUGACC